rnacentral:rRNA from 1 species
UACGUAGGUGGCAAGCGUUGUCCGGAAUUACUGGGCGUAAAGGGUGCGUAGGCGGUUUAUUAAGUCAGAUGUGAAAUUCCCAGGCUCAACCUGGGGACUGCAUUUGAAACUGGUAGGCUAGAGUGCAGGAGAGGAAAGCGGAAUUCCUAGUGUAGCGGUGAAAUGCGUAGAUAUUAGGAAGAACACCGGUGGCGAAGGCGGCUUUCUGGACUGUAACUGACGCUGAGGCACGAAAGCGUGGGGAGCAAACAGG